rnacentral:rRNA from 1 species
CCUACGGGGGGCAUCAGUGAGGAAUAUUGGUCAAUGGGCGAGAGCCUGAACCAGCCAAGUCGCGUGAGGGAAGACGGUCCUAUGGAUUGUAAACCUCUUUAGGCGGGGAGCAAUGCCGGGCACGCGUGCCCGGAGGGAGAGUACCCGCAGAAUAAGCACCGGCUAACUCCGUGCCAGCAGCCCCGGUAAUACGGAGGUUGCGAGCGUUUUCCGGAUUUAUUGGGUUUAAAGGGUGCGUAGGCGGAUUGUUAAGUCAGCGGUAAAAUGUCCGGGCUCAACCCGGGCCGGCCGUUGAAACUGGGGAGCUUGAGUGGGCGAGAAGUAUGCGGAAUGCGUGGUGUAGCGGUGAAAUGCAUAGAUAUCACGCAGAACUCCGAUUGCGAAGGCAGCAUACCGGCGCCCGACUGACGCUGAGGCACGAAAGCGUGGGGAUCGAACAGGAUUAGAUACCCCUGUAGUC